UGGCUACAGAACGACGCUGGCGGCAGGCCUCAAACAUGCAAGUCUAGGGGGUGUAGCAAUACAUCACCGGCGGACGGGUGCGUAACGCGUGGGAAUAUACCUAUCGAUUCGGAACAACUGAGGGAAACUUCAGCUAAUACCGAAUACGUCCUAACGGAGAAAGAUUUAUCGUCGAUAGAUUAGCCCGCGUUCGAUUAGCUAGUUGGUGGGGUAACGGCCCACCAAGGCGACGAUCGAUAGCUGUUCUGAGAGGAAGAUCAGCCACACUGGGACUGAGACACGGCCCAGACUCCUACGGGAGGCAGCAGUUGGGAAUCUUGGACAAUGGGGGAAACCCUGAUCCAGCCAUGCCGCGUGAGUGAUGAAGGCCUUCGGGUUGUAAAACUCUUUCGCGCACGACGAUAAUGACGGUAGUGCGAGAAGAAGCUCCGGCUAACUUCGUG
rnacentral:rRNA from 1 species